rnacentral:misc_RNA from 1 species
GACGAUUCCCGGCAGCGUGGCAACGUUCGCCACCUGCUCCAGCGAGCAAUCCGCAGUCACGUCCGGCAACAGUGUCUUUGACGCCAGCACGACCCCGGGGACCCGC